CUGUAUAUUUUCUAGCUGAAUAGCCCCAGUGUUACCUUCUGGUGUUGGAAUUUAUGAAAGCAUAAGAUGUCUGCCUCUCUGCUUCUUUAGUUGUUCCCCUCCAUCAAAGAUUUUUUGAAUCCCUUCAUGUAGCAGUCAGGAGAAAUAAAGAAUUUAAAGGCAUGAAUCAUUUGAGCUGCUUUAAAUGUCACCUUGAGGAUGAGAAGAAUUGUGUUCUGGGAAUGCCCAUUUUUCCAUGGAUGGAAAAGGGACUGACUAGUGCUAGCAUCUGCACUAAAUCAGAUGAAUCCCUCUUUGUGCGAAGGGAACAAAGUUUGUAAAGAGUAGAGAGUAAGUCCUAUGAGGAGUGGCUGAGGGAGCUG